AGGACGGCCUAGAGUCUGGAGCUGCAGAAGAGGCAGGGCGGAGAGGAGGGGAAAGAAGCAUCUGAACGGCUAAAUUGUGCCAGCAGCACUGAGAGCGAGAGUCGCGGUGGAGGACGGCCUAGAGUCUGGAGCUGCAGAAGAGGCAGGGCGGAGAGGAGGGGAAAGAAGCAUCUGAACGGCUAAAUUGUGCCAGCAGCACUGAGAGCGAGAGUCGCGGUGGAGGACGGCCUAGAGUCUGGAGCUGCAGAAGAGGCAGGGCGGAGAGGAGGGGAAAGAAGCAUCUGAACGGCUAAAUUGUGCCAGCAGCACUGAGAGCGAGAGUCGCGAUGUCUUCUCAGUGUCUCGUGAUGCUCAAGAGAUGCCCCCCGGCCCGGGUUUGCCUGCCGGUCGUUAAGCGUGGUGAAGGUAAGGGGCCAUCCCUCUGCCUGGGGGCUCCCGGCUCUGUCUCCAGCGGGUGCCCCGCAGGUGCGGCCGCGAGGGCUGCCUGGUGGGGAGAGUCGGGGCCCCCAGGGACCGGGGCUGUUUGUCGCCCCGGGGAGCCCGUCCCAGCGCGGGAGCGUGGCCGAGCAGAG